rnacentral:rRNA from 1 species
AUUGAACGCUGGCGGCAGGCCUAACACAUGCAAGUCGAGCGGAUGAAGGGAGCUUGCUCCUGGAUUCAGCGGCGGACGGGUGAGUAAUGCCUAGGAAUCUGCCUGUUAGUGGGGGAUAACGUCCGGAAACGGGCGCUAAUACCGCAUACGUCCUGAGGGAGAAAGUGGGGGAUCUUCGGACCUCACGCUAUCAGAUGAGCCUAUGUCGGAUUAGCUAGUUGGUGGGGUAAAGGCCUACCAAGGCGACGAUCCGUAACUGGUCUGAGAGGAUGAUCAGUCACACUGGAACUGAGACACGGUCCAGACUCCUACGGGAGGCAGCAGUGGGGAAUAUUGGGCAAUGGGCGAAAGCCUGAUCCAGCCAUGCCGCGUGUGUGAAGAAGGUCUUCGGAUUGUAAAGCACUUUAAGUUGGGAGGAAGGGCAGUAAGUUAAUACCUUGCUGUUUUGACGUUACCAACAGAAUAAGCACCGGCUAACUUCGUG